ACAGGUUUUCCAAAUAGCCUGUACAACAACGUUUUUCUUCUCAUAUAUCCAUUGAUUUCAAAUUGCUUCCAAUCAGGUUGGUUGGAUUUUAUUUUAAUUUUGAUUCUCUAACUGCUCUGUUUGCUACCCUUUUUGUAAUUUUCUAUAAUUCGUUUAGUUCCCUGGUGUACGAUGGCUAAGGGAUGCAGUUCAAGUUCCCUGGUGUACGAUGGCUAAAGGAUAUAAUUCGUUUAGUUUCAAGUUGACGCAUGGUUAUUAUACGCAAUUGUCAUCCUUAGCAGUGAUUCUGGAAUCCCUCCCUGCUUUCUCUGACAAAAUUUCACAAUUUCUGCUCUUGCUAUCCAUCUCUUUUGUUAUUUUCUGGUACUAUUAAGUUUUGUUGCGUUUCUUUAUGGAGCUGUCCAUGAGUUCUAAGUUUUUUACUCCUUUGUUCUUCCGUUUUCUUGCCUUUCUCUACUCAAAUCCUCUAUAUUCCCGUCUCACAUGUUUUUACGCUCUUUGUUUUGGUCUGGGCUCUUUGCAUGGUUUAGUCUUAAUAAGAAUGGCCUUGAGGUUUUUAUUUUACAUACUGCAUUUGGACUUUCAUUGUGUUUGUGAAAGAGAUUAUAACUGUCUGUGGGCUCUAGGGACCUCUUAAACCAGUUAAUAUUGGCUACUAGAAAGAUACCCUUUGAAUAUGCUAUCUCGAAAGUGAAAGUGAUAUUCAAGUGUUUAAUCUCCUGAUUGAGGCUUGACUUCUGUAUUCCAUAUUUUGCAGAUUGCUACUUUGAAGUCCCUAAGGAACACAUGGGGUACUUCUGGGGAAAAGGAAUGGGCAAAUUAAAUGAUUGAUAUACAAGGGCUUGGGUAAGUGAAAAUUGUCAGAAUGAGCAGUUAAUUUUUAGAAUGAUAAGUUGGUAAAAGCUUCUAUUAGCUCAGUAGAGGAAGCUUGGCAUCUUGACAUACUGUAACAGGAGAUAAUUAAGAUCAGCUCAAUCGUGAUUCUUCCAAUAGGAAAUUAAGGAACCAAUUGUUAUUUUGCCAACUUUAUUCCAAGCAUAGAAUUAAAAAAGUUGCUAUGGGUUUAUCUUAUACCAUCAUACUGGUCCUUCAAAUCAGAUAACAACUAACAUAUUAACAACAACUUCUACAUAUAUGAAUAACCAUCUUGCUUUGCAACAGCUUUAACUGACUAUACAAUUUUAUCUUUGUUAGACUUACUACAUCUUCUUUGCAAUUUAUUUUGCAAAAUUAUUACUUUUCUGUGAUUAUAUAUACCAAAGUCUAAGUCGUUCACUUUUAGUCAUUUCCACUAGCUGUAAAAUUGUGUUAUGUUUGCCAUUUUAUAACUCAAUAAUAAUUAUAUGAUUUCUUAAUUUUUUUUUGGCAUUAGGUGACCCUCCUCCAAUGUAUUUUUGUACGAUGUGAACUCAUUCUUGGGGGAUAUGGCUGGAUGAGUAUCGAAUUUCACUAAAAAGAUAAAAAUAAAGUUGUGUCUUCUGAGCUUCAAUGAAAGUAAGAUAUUCUGUUUUGUUGCACACGUAGAGUAUUUUACAAAUGCAGAAAUUAUUGAAGAGAUGUUUAUCUUCGUGCCUAAACAUAUACUUUUUUCGGCAGAAUUUUCUUGAUAUUGUGCAUCUUAAAGAGAUGAUCUUCAAAAGAAGGAGAAUUGAAUCUUUGAAUGGGCAACUGAUAACUUAUCUUAAAAUACUAUGUGUGGCAUCCUACAGUACGUGUUAUGUGCAAGAAGUUACAUUAACACGGUUCAUGUCAUACGAGAUAUAUUGGAAGUUUUAUAUAAAAGUUACUAUAUUGGCAUG
rnacentral:lncRNA from 1 species